UACGAAGGGUGCAAGCGUUACUCGGAAUUACUGGGCGUAAAGCGUGCGUAGGUGGUGAGUUAAGUCUGAUGUGAAAUCCCCGGGCUCAACCUGGGAAUGGCAUUGGAUACUGGCUCGCUAGAGUGCGGUAGAGGGUGGUGGAAUUCCCGGUGUAGCAGUGAAAUGCGUAGAGAUCGGGAGGAACAUCUGUGGCGAAGGCGGCCACCCGGACCAACACUGACACUGAGGCACGAAAGCGUGGGGAGCAAACAGGG
rnacentral:rRNA from 1 species